GAGAGAUAGAUAGGGAGCAACAGAGAGAGAGAGAUAGAUAGAUAGGGAGCAACAGAGAGAGAGAGAGAGCAACAGAGAGAGAGAGAGAGAUAGAUAGGGAGCAACAGAGAGAGAGAGAGAGAGAGAGAGAGAGAGAGAUAGAUAGGGAGCAACAGAGAGAGAGAGAGAGAGAUAGAUAGGGAGCAACAGAGAGAGAGAGAUAGAUAGGGAGCAACAGAGAGAGAGAGAGAGAGAGAGAGAUAGAUAGGGAGCAACAGAGAGAUAGAUAGGGAGCAACAGACAGACAGAGAGAUAGAUAGAGAGCAACAGACAGAGAGAGAGAUAGAUAGGGAGCAACAGAGAGAGAGAGAGAGAUAUAUAGAUAGGGAGCAACAGAGAGAGAGAUAGAUAGGGAGCAACAGAGAGAGAGAGAGAGGAUGUUCCUAUUUUCGAAGUCUUUUUGGAACUCUAGCUCGACCUGGAAAGCGUGCGGGAGUGCACCAGUCACAGUAUUUCCG
ensembl:lncRNA